GAUUGGUAGCAAUACUGAUCUGAGAGUGGCGUACGGGUGCGUAACACGUAUGCAACCUACCCGAAACUGGAGGAUAGCUCAGGGAAACUUGGAUUAACCCUCCAUAAGAUCGUGUUCAGGCAUCUGGGUGCGAUAAAAACCGCGAGGUGGUUUCGGAUGGGCAUGCGCAUGAUUAGCUAGUUGGUGGUGUAACGGACUACCAAGGCGAUGAUCAUUAGGGGACCUGAGAGGGUGAUCCCCCACACUGGCACUGAGAUACGGGCCAGACUCCUACGGGAGGCAGCAGUAGGGAAUAUUGGUCAAUGGGUGCAAGCCUGAACCAGCCAUGCCGCGUGCAGGAAGACGGCCUUCUGGGUUGUAAACUGCUUUUGCCAGGGGAUAAAAGACCGAUGCGUCGGGAAUUGAAGGUACCUGGUGAAUAAGCCACGGCUAACUACGUGCCAGCAGCCGCGGUAAUACGUAGGUGGCGAGCGUUGUCCGGAUUUAUUGGGUUUAAAGGGUGCGUAGGCGUCCUGACAAGUUUUAGGUGAAAUGCCCAGGCUUAACCUGGGAGCUGCCUGAAAAACUGUUGGGAUUGAGUACAGACGAGGUAGGCGGAAUUGACGGUGUAGCGGUGAAAUGCAUAGAUAUCGUCAGGAACACCGAUAGCGAAGGCAGCUUACUAGACUGUAACUGACGCUGAGGCACGAAAGUGUGGGGAUCAAACAGGAUUAGAUACCCUGGUAGUCCACACUGUAAACGUUGAUGACUCGCUGUGUGCGAUAUACGGUACGCGGCUAAGCGAAAGCGAUAAGUCAUCCACCUGGGGAGUACGCCGGCAACGGUGAAACUCAAAGGAAUUGACG
rnacentral:rRNA from 1 species